rnacentral:rRNA from 1 species
AUUGAACGUUGGCGGAAUGCUUUACACAUGCAAGUCGAACGGCAGCACGGACUUCGGUCUGGUGGCGAGUGGCGAACGGGUGAGUAAUGUAUCGGAACGUGCCCAGUCGUGGGGGAUAACGUAGUGAAAAUUACGCCAAUACCGCAUACGAUCUAUGGAUGAAAGCGGGGGAUCGCAAGACCUCGCGCGAUUGGAGCGGCCGAUAUCAGAUUAGGUAGUUGGUGGGGUAAAGGCCCACCAAGCCAGCGAUCUGUAGCUGGUCUGAGAGGACGACCAGCCACACUGGAACUGAGACACGGUCCAGACUCCUACGGGAGGCAGCAGUGGGGAAUUUUGGACAAUGGGCGAAAGCCUGAUCCAGCCAUUCCGCGUGCAGGAUGAAGGCCCUCGGGUUGUAAACUGCUUUUGUACAGAACGAAAAGGUUUCUACUAAUACUAGGAGCUCAUGACGGUACUGUAAGAAUAAGCACCGGCUAACUACGUGCCAGCAGCCGCCGCAG